CAUUAGAUGGCUGAAAGUAAGUAAUGGUCUCUUAAACCACUCUAUAAUAAAUUAACACCUAUUUCUAAUGA
rnacentral:tRNA from 1 species